rnacentral:rRNA from 1 species
AUUGAACGCUGGCGGCAGGCCUAACACAUGCAAGUCGAGCGAGCGGCGGACGGGUGAGUAAUGUAUGGGGACUGCCCGAUAGAGGGGGAUAACUACUGGAAACGGUGGCUAAUACCGCAUACUAUCGGAUAACCCAUAUGGGAUUAGCUAGUGGGUGGGGUAACGGCUCCCCUAGGCGACGAUCCCUAGCUGGUCUGAGAGUAUGAUCAGCCACACUGGGACUGAGACACGGCCCAGACUCCUACGGAGGCAGAAGUGGGGAAUAUUGCACAAUGGUCGCAAGCCUGAUGCAGCCAUGCCGCGUGUAUGAAGAAGGCCUUAGGGUUGUAAAGUACUUUCAGCGGGGAGGCGUUACCCGCAGAAGAAGCACCGGCUAACUCCGUGCCAGCCGCCGCGGUAAUUC